ensembl:lncRNA
CAAAUUCUGUAAUCCUUUGGCUAUUAAAAGGCAUCUUUAGAGGGUGAAAGAUAAACCUGGUUCAAAGAAAGUGGGACUUGGAAUUAUUUCUAUCUGAUAAGGCAUGGCAUUUUAACUCUGGAAAGAGCAUAAGAAGGCACAGAUAUGCGCACUAGAAUGUUAAUAUUAACAAUAAUACACUGACAUUUAUUGAACUGCAUUGUACUGUCUUUAUAUUAUCUUGAGACUUACUGCAAUUUAAGAGAGAAAGAAGCAGAGAUAAAAGGUGCAGGCUUUGGGUUCAAAUCACAGCCAAAAAACUUGGGCAAAUUAUGAGAAGGUAAUUUUUUUUUUUUUUGGUCACCGGGAAUCGAACUCAGGACCUUGCUCUUGCCAGGCAGGCACUGUGCCGCUGAGCCAAAUCCCUGGCCCUUGGGCCAAUUAUGAAACAUUUCUGUGCCUCCGUGUGUUCAGUCUCUCACACGAUUAUUUUCUGUGAAAAUAAUCACAGGAAAGGCUCUUCCUGGACUUCCAUCAGCUUUUUGGAAUUCUUUUUUAUAUCACUUGAUAGGAAGUAUAUAUAGAAAGAACAAAGUUCUUUCUCCCUUGUGUUUGCCAGCAUGACUUCUAUCUCCCCAUUCCCGUCCCAUCAUGAGGGUUUUUAAAAUUGAGUUCGGGGAUCUGGGCGCAGAGGAAAGAGAAGUCAUGACCACAAGGUGGCAGUAGCAAGGCAAUGUGCGCCACAGUGGGCGGUGCUGGACAGGUUCCACGUAAGGAGGAAGUCUCACAGGGAACGCCUUUCCGACUCAGAGGUGUGGAGACACAGCCCGGCAACGAAAGAAGGAGAAGCAACUCCCUGGGAAGAGGGAACCACAGAGGAGCGUUCCUUGUCUAGACUGGCUCCCGCACAGAUCUGGGCAGUACCAGUUCCAGCAGAUACUUUCUCUGGUUGGAUCUCUGCUUCAAGCCCACCACGGCAUCUCUGCUGCGGGUGCAGCUCCAGCCUCACAGACGUGGAGUGGGUCAGCCUGCUGUGCUGUAAGGAAGUGUGGUCCUUCACAUUAUUUGGCUUAGUCCUCUAUGACUGCUUUUUUCUCUUCAUCAGGAAACAGAGCAGUUCUGCAGGACCAUCCAUUACAGAUGGUUGUGCCAGUGGUGAAGACAAAAGAAGGCUUUGAUUGCAUUUUGAACCAGAUUGUUUAAGUUGACUGUAUUACAGUACUUCUUCACAAUGGAGCAGCAAGCACAGAUGAGAAAUACCUUUCUACACUAGUACUGAGGGAUCUUCAGAUUUGAAUAUUAAGUGAAAAAGGUAGAGGGAAUAGAAAAAUAUAUGCAAUUUUAUUUUUAAAAUGAAAAAAUAAAUCAUAAAAAAUGUUGAAGUCAUUAUGGAACAGGAAGGAGUAGAGGGGAGAUAAGGAUUUUGGAACAAAGGAAAGAGCUAUACAAUCAAAAGGGGUUAGAGCUGGAGGUGUGUAGCUCAGCAGGAGAGCACAUGCUUAGCAAGUGUGAGGCCUUAGGCUCACUCCCCAGCACCAAAAAAAGAAAAGAGAGGAAGAAGUUGGGUGCAAUUAAAUAAAACCUAGAAUCCCUGAAUUUAAGUUGGAAAUUUCAGUUUAAAUAAUGUAUUUUAUUAAAAAAAGAAAAAGACCAAACCAAACCAAAUCAUUUUACCCAGCACUGUCCACCAAACAAGUAACUCAUUUAUACCACCACAGUCCUUCAGAUUGUGGUCUUUAAAUAGUUUCCCAUUAAAAGAAACAGCACUGUGAUAAGCAGUAUAUGAUAUAAUUUUUAUACUUCCCCAGAAGUCAGUGUUAUUCUUUUAUAGUACAAAACGGACAUGUUUGGGACACUGAGACUGAAUAGGUGUCAAAAGAGCUGCAAAAUGAAAAACAGAGAAAUGUUAGCAUAUCAGAGACAAAAAGUCUGUGUUGUGAAAUGGAAAGACAAAAAAGACAUCUCCUUAUUGUCAACUGUUCAUAAUACAGAAAUGAUAGAAAUUGAAAGAAAAAAAGAAACAAAAAAAAUACAUUACUUAUUGACUAGUUAUCUUUUUCUCACUAAUAUAUAAUACUGAUGUCAUAUAGCAAAUUCGUAUAUACAUAUAUGUGGGUGUCUUUAAAAAAUUUUUCCUUUAAUAAGUCUGUCUCAUUUACUGUGGUUUUAUUAUAUAACUUAUCUUGUAGGCCAUCUUUUCAGUCUUAGCUCCCUUCAAAAUUGUCUUGGGUCCUGUAUUUUUUUUCUAUAUAAAUAGGAAAGAUGUAGCCAGGUGUGCUGG